AUUGAACGCUGGCGGCAGGCCUAACACAUGCAAGUCGAGCGGAUGAAGGGAGCUUGCUCCUGGAUUCAGCGGCGGACGGGUGAGUAAUGCCUAGGAAUCUGCCUGGUAGUGGGGGACAACGUUUCGAAAGGAACGCUAAUACCGCAUACGUCCUACGGGAGAAAGCAGGGGACCUUCGGGCCUUGCGCUAUCAGAUGAGCCUUGGUCGGAUUAGCUAGUUGGUGAGGUAAUGGCUCACCAAGGCGACGAUCCGUAACUGGUCUGAGAGGAUGAUCAGUCACACUGGAACUGAGACACGGUCCAGACUCCUACGGGAGGCAGCAGUGGGGAAUAUUGGACAAUGGGCGAAAGCCUGAUCCAGCCACGCCGCGUGUGUGAAGAAGGUCUUCGGAUUGUAAAGCACUUUAAGUUGGGAGGAAGGGUUGUAGAUUAAUACUCUGCAAUUUUGACGUUACCGACAGAAUAAGCACCGGCUAACUCUGUGCCAGCCGCCGCAGUAACAC
rnacentral:rRNA from 1 species